UAGUCCGACCUUAGCUCAGUUGGUAGAGCGGGAGACUGUAGUUCGUGAGCAGAUAUCUCUAGGUCGCUGGUCGAAUCCGGCAGGUCGGAAGUUCUGCCCCGCGCG